rnacentral:snRNA from 1 species
GUGCUCACUUUGGCAGCACAUAUACUAAAAUCAGAAUGAUAGAGAGAAGAUUAGGAUGGCCCUUUACAAGAAUGACAUGCAUAUUAGCGAAGCAUUCCAUAAUUUU